CACGUAGGCGGAUACUUAAGUUAGGGGUGAAAUCCCAGAGCUCAACUCUGGAACUGCCUCUAAUACUGGGUAUCUCGAGUUCGAGGGAGGUGAGUGGAAUUCCGAGUGUAGAGGUGAAAUUCGUAGAUAUUCGGAGGAACACCAGUGGCGAAGGCGGCUCACUGGCUCGAUACUGACGCUGAGGUGCGAAAGCGUGGGGAGCAAACA
rnacentral:rRNA from 1 species